UACGUAGGGAGCAAGCGUUGUCCGGAAUCACUGGGCGUAAAGCGCGCGUAGGUGGCCAUGUAAGUCCGCUGUGAAAGUCAAAGGCUCAACCUUUGAAAGCCGGUGGAUACUGCAUGGCUAGAGUACGGAAGAGGCGAGUGGAAUUCCUGGUGUAGCGGUGGAAUGCGCAGAUAUCAGGAGGAACACCAAUAGCGAAGGCAGCUCGCUGGGACGUUACUGACACUGAGGCGCGAAAGCGUGGGGAGCGAACAGG
rnacentral:rRNA from 1 species